rnacentral:lncRNA from 1 species
UGUUGCGUAUAAUUAUUACUAGUUGUGACAUCUGUAGAGGCAUUUAUUACCAGUAGCUAUUUCUUUAUCAAAAUGGCACAGCCUAGACCAGGGGUCUUCAACCUUUUUCAGCCCAAGGACCCCUUGGCUAAGAGAGACACUGAGCAGGGACCCCCACCCCCACCGCCCCAAAUUUGGGCCUGAUAUUUAUAUAAUUUAUUUGGAACUUAGUGUCAGUCACACACACACACACACUCCCCUACACAUGUUUGAACAGAAUUACAAAUCAUCUUACUUCCUCCACCACUGGUUACACAGCAAUACAACACACCACAAUAAAUAAAGUUCCAACACACACCACCGCUGUAGGGCACUGCACACACUCCCACGGCACUGCAAUAGGCACACACAAGACGCCAGCCGGGCUACACACAAAGCCACCGUCUCUUUUCACCCUCCCACCCCAGAUCAUAAACUGGCUACGCCGUCAGGUUAAAACUCACACUCAUACACGCACGCGCACACACACACACACACACACACAUACACACACACACAAAAGAAUCGAGAUUAAAACUUAACUCUCCCGAGUUACAAGACCCUCCCCCGGGGUCUGAGCUUGGGCACUGAUCGGUAAGGGGAGAGACAGAAACCACCGAUCCAGCACUCGUGAGGUCUCAGCCAGUAACGCCAGCGGAAAACCCCUGAGAAGCAGCCAACGCACUCCUAAUUCUUCCCCAGCCUUAGCUACAGGUAUCCCACUCUUCACCGCCGGCAGCCCUAAGCAGCAUGCGAACGGCACCCACCCCUACACCUUGAAUGCAGCGCGACGUGAGCAAUCUAGCACCACUUCCCAGACACCUCAUCUUUCGCUGUGGUCUUCCUUUAUCCAUGUUGUCUCAGCACUGAUUAGGUUCCACGUUCACUCUCGUCAAUGACCAGGUGUAGCCCAUUAAUUAACACCGCCAGCUCAUCCCUUAGAUCCCUCCCCCAUACAAGAGUCAUGUCAAAACAUUCCGAACACAUCAUACAUAACAUCAUUUCAUU